GGAUUUAUUGUAUGUGAUACAAAGCAUGAAUUGUAUGAAAAGUAAAAUAUCUAAUCUAUAUGAUUAAAAUUAUUUUAAUCAUGAAAAUAAAAUUUAAAAAUUUAAAAUAUUUAGAUAUGAUCUAAAGUUUAUUAUGAUUGAUUUUAUUUCAGUUUAUGAGAUAAUUUUCAGAUCUGAAACUAUAUGAUACCAAUUGACAUGCCAACUGAGCCGACUAAUUUAGAACUGAGUUGAUCCAGUCUCUUAUUUUUUAUCAAUUC
rnacentral:lncRNA from 1 species